rnacentral:pre_miRNA from 1 species
CUUGUACUCCCUCCGUCCGGAAGUACUUGUCAUUGAAAUGGAUAUAUCUAGAUGUAUUUUAGUUCUAGACACAUCCAUUUUGAUGACAAGUAAUUCCGGACGGAGGGAGUACUUG